rnacentral:tRNA from 1 species
GGUAGCACAGUAGUCAGUGCUCAGCUGCUAACUGAAAGGUUGGUGGUUCGAACCCAUCAACCA